rnacentral:rRNA from 1 species
UACGUAGGGGGCCGAGCGUUGUCCGGAGUUAUUGGGCGUAAAGGGCGCGUAGGCGGCCUUCUAAGUCGAACGUGAAAUCCCCGGGCUCAACCCGGGAACUGCGUCCGAUACUGGGAGGCUUGAAUCCGGGAGAGGGAUGUGGAAUUCCAGGUGUAGCGGUGAAAUGCGUAGAUAUCUGGAGGAACACCGGUGGCGAAGGCGGCAUCCUGGACCGGUAUUGACGCUGAGGCGCGAAAGCCAGGGGAGCAAACGGG